rnacentral:rRNA from 1 species
ACCGGGGCGACAGCAAUAUGAAGGUCAGGCUGAAGACCUUACCCGAUUUAGCUGAGAGGUGGUGCAUGGCCGUCGUCAGUUCGUACUGUGAAGCAUCCUGUUAAGUCAGGCAACGAGCGAGACCCACGUCCACAGUUGCCAGCAUACCCUCCGGGGUGAUGGGUACACUGUGGAGACCGCCGCUGCUAAAGCGGAGGAAGGAGUGGGCAACGGUAGGUCAGUAUGCCCCGAAUCUCCCGGGCUACACGCGGGCUACAAUGGUUGGUACAAUGGGCAUCUACCCCGAAAGGGGAAGGAAAUCUCUUAAAGCCAAUCGUAGUUCGGAUUGAGGGCUGCAACUCGCCCUCAUGAAGCUGGAAUCCGUAGUAAUCGCGUUUCAACAGAACGCGGUGAAUACGUCCCUGCUCCUU